AUUCUGUAUGCUGUAUGGAUCCACCAGACAUCAUGUUGCCUGUGAGUAUGAGACCUUUUAAAUAAGACAUGUAAGCUAAUGAUUUUAACUGAGUUUAAUCAGUGGUCACAGGGAGAAGUGAUGGGAGUUGAAGAGGAUGAGGAGACUGUGUCUGUAUGUUCAAGGAGGCCUGAGGAUGCUGACACUGUUCUAGAGCCCUCUCAGUCUGGGACCACAUGUGACAAAAACCCAGAAAACAUAAAAGGAGUGUAUAAACGCUACCUCCUUAAACAAAUGGAAGUGAUUGAUAUCGACAUCCAGUAUAAAAAACUGAAGAUGAGGAAGUUGGAGCUGGAAAUUCAACAGCUACAGAAAAAUGCAAGUAGAACUACCAUUUUUAAAAAAGGAAAAGGAAAAAAAAAAGACCUUUUUGAUCACUUUCCACAACAUUUAUUUGUGUGUUUUCACCCCUAACAGGCAGAUUCACUCUGAAUAAAGACAAAUCACAUUAUAUACUUUGACUUCUGUGUGUUUGUUCAACUAAGGAGAAAGUUGAGGGGCCAGUGGAACAUUUUAAAGGCUACACAUGGUUUAGAUCAUAUUAAGCAAAAUAAUUAUUUGCAUAUGUGUCUCUUAUAAGUCUGCCUGUUUCGUUUUCUUCCAAUACUGCCUCAUUGCCCCAGUCUUCCUCUUCAGCAAUCCUUGGUUGCCUCUCUCUCCUCAGACAAGCAAUGUCAUGGAGCACUACACAAGCAACUACAAUGUCACAUGCCCUAGGUGGAGUCACUCUGAGGUGCUUCAGGCACUGAAACCUUGACUUUAUCAGCCCAAAUGCCAUCUCUAUACGACCUCUUCUUGUGCGUGCAUGGGCAAUGUUGUAGCGGUGCUGUGCUCUGUCUGGGGCUCCUGAUAGGGAGUCAAGAGGUAAGGCAGGCAUGGGUAUCCCUUGUCUCCCAGCAAAACUCCUGAGAAUUCUCCUGCAUAGACAGAAUGAAUAUAUAGAUAUAUAAUGUUUUUUUUUUUUCUUUUUAUAAGACUUUUUGCAAUUUUAAGUGAUUACUAGCAUACCUCUUGCUAGUUGCUGGUAGAGAGAUGAGGCUCUAAAGAUUCUGGAGUCAUGCACAGAGCCUGGCCAUUUGGCCUCUACAUUUGUGAUGAUGCAAUCUGCAUCACUAAUCAUCUAAAAUAAAUUUAAACCUGUAGGUCACUACAUUUUAAUUGCAAUGAACUAAACACUGGUGCCCAGCUUAGUACAGAACACUCAGUGCUAGAGCAUAGCCUUCAAUAUCAUCUCAGUGGGACAGUACCUGUACAUUGAUGCUGUGUACUGAUUUCCUAUUCACAAAGUCCACUUCAUGUGGACCAGACGGACACUUAAU
rnacentral:lncRNA from 1 species